UACGGAGGGUGCGAGCGUUAAUCGGAAUUACUGGGCGUAAAGCGCGCGUAGGCGGUUUGUUAAGUUUGAUGUGAAAGCCCUGGGCUUAACCUGGGAACUGCAUUGGAUACUGGCAAGCUGGAGUGUGGUAGAGGGGUGUGGAAUUUCCGGUGUAGCAGUGAAAUGCGUAGAGAUCGGAAGGAACACCAGUGGCGAAGGCGGCACCCUGGACCAACACUGACGCUGAGGUGCGAAAGCGUGGGGAGCAAACAGG
rnacentral:rRNA from 1 species